ensembl:lncRNA
CAAAGGGUUAUUUAAUGCGGUAAAUCCGAAGGCUCCUCAGAAGUCAAGAGCUCCCGGGGGAGGCCCCACACUCUGCAGCCUUCCUUUUCAGAAUCACUGGCCCCCCUCCAUCCCAGGUCAGACUUAUUUCCCGUCCUUUGCCACCGGGCAAAUAUUGACUUUCUUUCACCCGCAGCGUUGCCAAUGGAGCUGAGAGCAGCGGGCGGGCUAUUGUCUCCUUCCUCCGCGAGGGCAGGGCCAACUGGGCCAGGCCGGGCAAGAAAGCCAGGGAGGGGAUUGCGCUCCCAGCAGGAACCCCUGAGUCUUUCUAUCUUUGAUUGUGUCUUUCUGGCCGCUCUCCCUUCCCAAGCCCAUUUGGGUUUAUUUCUCCACGUUUUGGCUCUCCUGCUGCCAGGUGGCAUGUCCGACCCGAGAGAAGCAGCAGGCGCAGCUGGCAGACCUGGAAGAGCUGAGCCUGGGAGGCAGGUCCCUAACAGGGGGCAACCUGAUGGGCAUCCUUGCCCGGCCCGGGUCCUCAGUGUUCUGACCCGUGCCGUGGGAGGGCCAGCCUCCACAGUCCAUCUCGGUGUCUAGGCCAGGGAGCUCCCUCCUCCCCAUGACCCACGGCCUGUGGCUGCAAUCCAGGCGUUUUCCCUCGUGCUCUGCCUUGAGACGAGAUGGAAAGCAACUGCUCAGGGCUUCACGGGGAGAGUGGGAAGAGCCAGGGCGAGGCCCACAGGUGCAGGCACAGCCGCUCCUCAUGCUGACAGGCCCUGCGAGACUCCCCCUCUCCAAGCCUCAGUUUCCCCACAAUCAAAAUCAGAGACUGGAUGAGAUGAAGGCAAAGGUCCCUGUCAGCGCCCCUGCCGUGGUUUCCCUCGCCUGCACACCUCUGCGGGCGGGACCGAGACCUCAGCACAGCCCUGUCCUCACGGCUGACCUUGACCUCAAGCCUCCCAGCUUGUCCUCCUCAUAACGGGGCCUCCUCUCGGCCUCCGUGCUUCUCUGUGACAGACGAGGACCGUACACGCAGACUCCUGCAGCCUGGAGUCAGGGCACAAGGCACAGUGGUGACAGCUGCAGGACCGUGGACUCUGUCCCCGCCCUUCCUCUCACCGGAGCCCCCUCUGUGACGUCACAGAGCCUUACAAAGCCCAUUCCUUUUGCAGCACCCAAUUCAAACCAAGAACUCCUCACAUUCCAGGAGUUUUAUGUAAACCGUCCCCACAUAAUCUUCACAAGAACCCAAGAGGACUCUUCCCACAACACCCGAAGCCUGGUGAGAAGCUAUUGUUGCAUCUCAACUGAAGACACAGCCAGAGCCACCCGGAGAAGGAGUGAGACCAGACUUGCCUGUGGCAAGCGCGGUGAGGGGCCAGAGGCGUCAGGCCUGGGAGAGACUUCGGAUUCGUGAGUUCCAAACCCCUACUUUCCAGAUGAAGAUACUGGGGCCCAAAGGGGUAAGUGAGCUGACCAAGGUCAUAGCCCGGGUCGGAAUGGAAGCUUCCUGACUCCCCCUGGAACGCGGGGCGCACAGCGCCGCUCUGCCACCCUCCUGCCGAGGAAGUGACCGCUGAGCUCCUGGCAGAGGCCAGCGAUCAAAGGCAGCAAAUUCCUAAACGCCACGGCUCGGGGCAGGCGCGCCCGUGGGCUUGUUCCCUCGACCACCCUGCCCCCACCUCGUCCCCAUUCCCGACUGGGGCCCCACGCGCCUCCAUCACCCUGAGGUUCAGAGAUGUGCAGCAGCUUGUCCAAGGUCACACAGCAAACUGAGUGGAACAUGCGCCUCUACUGCCCUGUUGACCCUCCCCACCUCCCACCCCGGUCUCUCCAAGCUCCGCCGCUUGCCAGAAUCCUUGGGACCAUGCUUCCAACAAUGCCCCAAGCCGCGGCGCUUGCUGGAGUAUGAAAAAGUUUCAGAGAGAGGAAGGGGCGGAAGAUGCCGCGGCCCAUCCCAGCCCCAGACGGCUGCGGCAGGGUGGAGGCGCGCAGGGGAAGCGAGCUCCGUGCACCGCCGAUGUCCCCAGCGCACCCCACUGUGCGCCAGGGGGCUCGCGAGCGCCGCGCGGGGCCCUUCCGUUCAUCCUCACUGCGGCGGCAGCGGGGGGUCCCGCGCGCCCCGCACCCACUUUGCAACGCAAGCCGCGCCAUCGGCCCUCCUCCGAGCCCCUUCCCGCGUUCUCCGCGGCGGGCGCCUCGGCUUCCCCGCUCGCCCCCGGUGCCAGCGCCGAUGCACCGCGGCCUCCGUCGCCUUCUCCCCGUCCGGGCUCCCCGCGAGGAGAAACGGGGCGAGGGGCUUCCGGAUCGUCCAGGCACCUCCCCCGGGACUAACUGGAUAAUCCCGACGCAAGUGGAUCUCCGGAGCCCCGUCCCCCACCGCGGGCUCCGUCCUGCACUUAGUUUAUCCGGCCGUGAGCGCCGAGCCCAGAAGUCGGAGCGUCCCAGUUUGGCGACCCCGCAUCCGCCCGCGCCCCUGGCCCUCGGGGGCCGCCCCGUUCGGACUAGGGGCUGCCCCGCAGGGUGUCCCCGCCCGGCGCUGCUCUUACCCGGGGACGCUCCGGGCGUGGUGGGGCCUGCGCUCGCGGAGGGGGCGCAGGCGGGACGGCCGGGUCCCGAAGUCCGGGUCCGCUCUUCCCGCGCGCGGCCGGCCGGCAGCUGCGGUCUCCUCCCGCCCGCCGGCUCCCGCGCUCUGCAGUAGUAACAACCUGGCCCGCUUCCUCGCCCGCCGAUCGAGAUGCUGCUCACAUCCGCCUGCACACGGCGCGUGCCGGCCCUGCGAGGGCGAUCCCCGCCGGCCGCGAAGCACGGCCCCGCCCCAGGCUAUCCCCGCGCGCGGUCUCCGGGCCGGCCGGCCGGGGCGGCAGCUGCGCG